UGACGACUAAAUUGCGAAAAAGAUAAGCGUGAGGGCGGCGGAGUUGCUGCCGACGGUGGAGUUGCUACCGACGGCGAAGUUGCUGCCGACGGCGGAGUUGCUACCGUUCAGUCUUCGUCGUCGAUGUGUGAUCCCAUCAUUGAAUGGAGCAACGUUGGGGAUAAAGUAUUUCUGCAGUUGUACCAUAUGAUGAGAGUGGAUAGAAUUAUGCAGGGGAAUAAGAACACCCACAAGAUCACGUUGUAUAAAAAAAAUUAUGGCUUGUAUUUAAACCUUAUACAGUUCGUUACGUUCGUGUGUCUUUACUACGUAAUCUCAACAUGAUCUAGGACAAGGCAUGACUAAAAGACUUAUGAAAAAAACUUUCGUUUUGGCG